GUCGAGCGAGCUUGCCUAGAUGAAUUUGGUGCUUGCACCAGAUGAAACUAGAUACAAGCGAGCGGCGGACGGGUGAGUAACACGUGGGUAACCUGCCCAAGAGACUGGGAUAACACCUGGAAACAGAUGCUAAUACCGGAUAACAACACUAGACGCAUGUCUAGAGUUUAAAAGAUGGUUCUGCUAUCACUCUUGGAUGGACCUGCGGUGCAUUAGCUAGUUGGUAAGGUAACGGCUUACCAAGGCAAUGAUGCAUAGCCGAGUUGAGAGACUGAUCGGCCACAUUGGGACUGAGACACGGCCCAAACUCCUACGGGAGGCAGCAGUAGGGAAUCUUCCACAAUGGACGCAAGUCUGAUGGAGCAACGCCGCGUGAGUGAAGAAGGGUUUCGGCUCGUAAAGCUCUGUUGGUAGUGAAGAAAGAUAGAGGUAGUAACUGGCCUUUAUUUGACGGUAAUUACUUAGAAAGUCACGGCUAACUACGUGCCAGCAGCCGCGGUAAUACGUAGGUGGCAAGCGUUGUCCGGAUUUAUUGGGCGUAAAGCGAGUGCAGGCGGUUCAAUAAGUCUGAUGUGAAAGCCUUCGGCUCAACCGGAGAAUUGCAUCAGAAACUGUUGAACUUGAGUGCAGAAGAGGAGAGUGGAACUCCAUGUGUAGCGGUGGAAUGCGUAGAUAUAUGGAAGAACACCAGUGGCGAAGGCGGCUCUCUGGUCUGCAACUGACGCUGAGGCUCGAAAGCAUGGGUAGCGAACAGGAUUAGAUACCCUGGUAGUCCAUGCCGUAAACGAUGAGUGCUAAGUGUUGGGAGGUUUCCGCCUCUCAGUGCUGCAGCUAACGCAUUAAGCACUCCGCCUGGGGAGUACGACCGCAAGGUUGAAACUCAAGG
rnacentral:rRNA from 1 species